rnacentral:rRNA from 1 species
CCUGGACAAAGACUGACGCUCAGGUGCGAAAGCGUGGGGAGCAAACAGGAUUAGAUACCUGGUAGUCACGCCGUAAACGAUGUCGACUUGGAGGUUGUGCCCUUGAGGCGUGGCUUCCGGAGCUAACGCGUUAAGUCGACCGCCUGGGGAGUACGGCCGCAAGGUUAAAACUCAAAUGAAUUGACGGGGGCCCGCACAAGCGGUGGAGCAUGUGGUUUAAUUCGAUGCAACGCGAAGAACCUUACCUACUCUUGACAUCCAGAGAACUUAGCAGAGAUGCUUUGGUGCCUUCGGGAACUCUGAGACAGGUGCUGCAUGGCUGUCGUCAGCUCGUGUUGUGAAAUGUUGGGUUAAGUCCCGCAACGAGCGCAACCCUUAUCCUUUGUUGCCAGCGGUUAGGCCGGGAACUCAAAGGAGACUGCCAGUGAUAAACUGGAGGAAGGUGGGGAUGACGUCAAGUCAUCAUGGCCCUUACGAGUAGGGCUACACACGUGCUACAAUGGCGCAUACAAAGAGAAGCGACCUCGCGAGAGCAAGCGGACCUCAUAAAGUGCGUCGUAGUCCGGAUUGGAGUCUGCAACUCGACUCCAUGAAGUCGGAAUCGCUAGUAAUCGUAGAUCAGAAUGCUACGGUGAAUACGUUCCCGGGCCUUGUACACACCGCCCGUCACACCAUGGGAGUGGGUUGCAAAAGAAGUAGGUAGCUUAACC